CCGAAUUGCCAACAUGAGUUGUUGCUGGCCCUCAAUGGGGGCAUGUGCACGCUCUGUUUGCACAUCCACUCACACCUGUGCACGCUCUGUAGUUCUGUGGCCUGUGGGACUCUGUCCUCCUGUGCUGUGGUUCUAUAUCUUUACACACACACACUGUAAUGAAGUAUCGUGGAAUGUAUGCUGCGUUUAACGCAAUACAAUA
rnacentral:misc_RNA from 1 species